rnacentral:rRNA from 1 species
UACGUAGGGUGCAAGCGUUAAUCGGAUUUACUGGGCGUAAAGCGUGCGUAGGCGGUUCAUUAAGUCGGUUGUGAAAUCCCUGGGCUUAACCUGGGAACUGCAGUCGAUACUGAUGGACUAGAGUGCGGUAGAGGGUGGCGGAACUCCGGGUGUAGCGGUGAAAUGCGUAGAUAUCCGGAAGAACACCGAUGGCGAAGGCAACCACCUGGGCCUGCACUGACGCUGAGGUACGAAAGCGUGGGGAGCAAACAGG